UCGGGAAUUUUGGGCAAUGGGCGAAAGCCUGACCCAGCAACGCCGCGUGAGGGAUGAAGUAUUUCGGUAUGUAAACCUCAAAAGAAUGGGAAGAAUAAAUGACGGUACCAUUUAUAAGCUCCGGCUAACUACGUGCCAGCAGCCGCGGUAAUACGUAGGGAGCAAGCGUUGUUCGGAUUUACUGGGCGUAAAGGGCGCGUAGGCGGCGCGGUAAGUCACUUGUGAAAUCUCUGAGCUUAACUCAGAACGGCCAAGUGAUACUGCUGUGCUAGAGUGCGGAAGAGGCAACCGGAAUUCUUGGUGUAGCGGUGAAAUGCGUAGAUAUCAAGAGGAACACCUGAGGCGAAGGCGGGUUGCUGGGCCGACACUGACGCUGAUGCGCGAAAGCCAGGGGAGCAAACG
rnacentral:rRNA from 1 species